rnacentral:rRNA from 1 species
GACGGGGGGGGCAAGUGUUCUUCGGAAUGACUGGGCGUAAAGGGCACGUAGGCGGUGAAUCGGGUUGAAAGUGAAAGUCGCCAAAAAGUGGCGGAAUGCUCUCGAAACCAAUUCACUUGAGUGAGACAGAGGAGAGUGGAAUUUCGUGUGUAGGGGUGAAAUCCGUAAAUAUUCGGAAGAACACCAGUGGCGAAGGCGGCUCACUGGACUGGUAUUGACGCUGAGGUGCGAAAGCGUGGGGAGCAAACAGG